CACAGACGAGCAGAAUCUCCAUCAUCUUCGUCGGGAAGCACUCUGAAAUGCACUGCGAUCUUCCGUUCUCUUGUCUGGUUGGCGAUGGCCAAAGGGAAAAAAUGCGAGGCACAACACAGCAGGUUUGUUACGGAAGAUGUAAAGCCGUAUUGGACAACGCCAGGGGCAAAGAGCUGACACUGCAGCAAACCAUGGAGUACAUUCCAGCACGAGAGGGAGAACACGAACCCCGGCCCUUGAAAUAAUCAGCACCGCAGGCGUGCACAGUGCCGUCUCAGUCGAACCCCGGCUGCAGGA